CGUUCAUUCGACAAUAUUAUAGACGGGAACGUACAGUUUUAUUUCUGUUCGAAUCUAAAAGUUCGGCGGAGUGCGAGUUUCGGGAUGUGAAAAAAAUCGUACGUCAAACGCCCUACAACAAUUUCACACGGGACUAAUUGUAAUACAAAGAAAAUCACGAACCGUUAAAAAGACGAUAGCCGAAUUAUUUUCAAUAUUGGCUUUGUGUCGU